rnacentral:lncRNA from 1 species
UACAAGAAGAGGUACUCGGAGCUGGAGCAGCAGCUGCUGGAGAGAUCCGGAGAGCUGGAGCAGCAGCGGCUAAGGGACACAGAGCACAGCCAAGACCUGCAGAGUGCCCUCAUCCGGCUGGAGGAGGAGCCGCAGAGGAGUGCCAGCCUGGCCCAGGUGAAAGCCAUGCUCCGAGAACAUCUGGACCAGGCAGGCUCGGCCAACCAGGCUCUGAGUGAGGACAUACAAAAGGUGACCAAUGACUGGACACGCAGCCGCAAGGAGCUGGAGCAGCGGGAGGCGGCAUGGAGGCGCGAGGAGGAGUCUUUCAAUGCCUACUUCAGCAAGAAGCACAAUCACCUGCUCCUGCUAUGGAGGCAGGUGGUGGGGUUCCGGCGGCUGGUCAGCGAGGUGAAGAUGUUCACCGAGAGAGUGACAGAGCUGGGCCUGGCAGUGAAGCGUCUUCAGAAGCAGAAUCCGGAGAAGGAUCAGGUCAACACGGACCUCACUGAGAAGCUUGAGGCCCUGUCCGUCCUGUCGGACACAGAGCGGCGUCCAGCUGAGCGGCUCCGAGCGCACCGCGGAUGACUCCUUCGGCAGCCUGCGGGGGCUCUCGGCCCAGCAGACCCCGUCCCCACCGCGGCGCUCCUCGCCCGGCCGAGGCCGUUCACCCCGCCGAGGCCCCUCCCCGGCCUGCUCAGACUCCUCCACGCUCGCCCUGAUCCACUCCACCUUACACAAGCACGAGCUGCAGGUCCAGGACAUGCGUGGGCGCUAUGAGGCAAGCCAGGACCUGCUGGGCACCCUGCGGAAGCAGCUUAGCGACAGCGAGAGUGAGCGGCGGGCCCUAGAGGAACAGCUGCAGCGCCUGCGGGACAAGACCGACAGCACCAUGCAGGCCCACGAGGACGCCCAGCGCGAGGUGCAGCGGCUGCGGAGCGCCAAAGAGCUCCUGAGAAGGGAGAAGAGCAACCUGGCCCACAGCCUGCAGGUGGCCCAGCAGCAGGCCAAGGAGCUGCGGCAGGAGCGGAAGAAGCUGCAGGCUGCCCAGGAGGAGCUGCGGCGCCAGCGGUACUGGCUGGGGGAAGAGCAGGAGGACGCAGUGCAGGAUGGUGUGCGGGUGCGCCGGGAGCUUGAGCACAG